rnacentral:rRNA from 1 species
GAUGAACGCUGGCGGCGUGCCUAAUACAUGCAAGUCGAGCGCAGGAAGCUGACGGAACUCUUCGGAGGGAAGGCAGUGGAAUGAGCGGCGGACGGGUGAGUAACACGUAAGGAACCUGCCUCAAGGAUUGGGAUAACUCCGAGAAAUCGGAGCUAAUACCGGAUAGUUCAACGGACCGCAUGGUCCGCUGAUGAAAGGCGCUUCGGCGUCACCUUGAGAUGGCCUUGCGGUGCAUUAGCUAGUUGGUGGGGUAACGGCCCACCAAGGCGACGUGGCAUAGCCGACCUGAGAGGGUGAUCGGCAACACGGGGACUGAGACACGGCCAAGACUCCUACGGGAGGCAGCAGUAGGGAAUCUUCCACAAUGGACUAAAGUCUGAUGGAGCAACGCCGCGGGAGUGAUGAAGGUUUUCGGAUCGUAAAACUCUGUUGUAAGGGAAGAACACGUACGAGAGGGAAUGCUCGUACCUUGACGGUACCUUACGAGAAAGCCACGGCUAACUACGUGCCAGCCGCCGCCGUAAAAC